rnacentral:rRNA from 1 species
GAAGUUGCAUAAUCACUUGUUUCUUAAAUAGAGACUAGUAUCAACGGCACCACGAAGACUACACGUCUCCUCCAUAAAAUCAAUGAAACUGAUCUCCUCGUGAAGAAGCGAGGAUAUACAUAUAAGACGAGAAGACCCCAUGGAGCUUUAAACGAACUUCAAUUGCUUCUACUAAUACCACAAAAAUUAAGCACUAAUGAUAGAUAGUUUUAGGUUGGGGUGACCGCGGAGUAAAACAAAACCUCCACAAUGAACGUAACAAAAUUCUAAUAAAAGAACUACAACUCUAAUAAUCAACAUAUUGACAUAAAUUGACCCAAAUAUUUGAUCAAUGAACCAAGUUACCCUGGGGAUAACAGCGCAAUCCAUUUUAAGAGCCCUUAUCGACAAAUGGGUUUACGACCUCGAUGUUGGAUCAGGGUAUCCCAGUGGUGCAGCCGCUACUAAUGUGUUCGUUUGUUCAACGAUUAAAACCCUACGUGAUCUGG